rnacentral:rRNA from 1 species
AGCGAACGCUGGCGGCAGGCCUAACACAUGCAAGUCGAACGAACUCUUCGGAGUUAGUGGCGGACGGGUGAGUAACACGUGGGAACGUGCCUUUUGGUUCGGAAUAACUCAGGGAAACUUGUGCUAAUACCGAAUGUGCCCUUCGGGGGAAAGAUUUAUCGCCAUUAGAGCGGCCCGCGUCUGAUUAGCUAGUUGGUGAGGUAACGGCUCACCAAGGCGACGAUCAGUAGCUGGUCUGAGAGGAUGACCAGCCACACUGGGACUGAGACACGGCCCAGACUCCUACGGGAGGCAGCAGUGGGGAAUCUUGCGAAAUGGGCGAAAGGCUGACGCAGCCAUGCCGCGUGAAUGAUGAAGGUCUUAGGAUUGUAAAAUUCUUUCACCGGGGACGAUAAUGACGGUACCCGGAGAAGAAGCCCCGGCUAACUUCGUG